rnacentral:rRNA from 1 species
GACAGAGGGUGCAAACGUUGCUCGGAAUCACUGGGCGUAAAGGGCGUGUAGGCGGGAAGGCAAGUCAGAUGUGAAAUCCCCAGGCUCAACCUGGGAACUGCAUUUGAAACUCCCUUUCUUGAGUACCGGAGAGGAAAGUGGAAUUCCUGGUGUAGAGGUGAAAUUCGUAGAUAUCAGGAGGAACACCAGUGGCGAAGGCGGCUACCUGGACCGGUUCUGACGCUGAGGCGCGAAAGCGUGGGUAGCAAACAGG